rnacentral:lncRNA from 1 species
CGCUCUCGGGACGUCUCCACCAUGGCCUGGGCUCUGCUGCUCCUCACUCUCCUCACUCAGGACACAGGGUCCUGGGCCCAGUCUGCCCUGACUCAGCCUGCCUCCGUGUCUGGGUCUCCUGGACAGUCGAUCACCAUCUCCUGCACUGGAACCAGCAGUGAUGUUGGGAGUUAUAACCUUGUCUCCUGGUACCAACAGCACCCAGGCAAAGCCCCCAAACUCAUGAUUUAUGAGGGCAGUAAGCGGCCCUCAGGGGUUUCUAAUCGCUUCUCUGGCUCCAAGUCUGGCAACACGGCCUCCCUGACAAUCUCUGGGCUCCAGGCUGAGGACGAGGCUGAUUAUUACUGCUGCUCAUAUGCUGGUCUUGAACUUCUGACCUCAGGUGAUCCACCCGCCUUGGCCUCCGAAGUCAGCCCAAGGCUGCCCCCUCGGUCACUCUGUUCCCACCCUCCUCUGAGGAGCUUCAAGCCAACAAGGCCACACUGGUGUGUCUCAUAAGUGACUUCUACCCGGGAGCCGUGACAGUGGCCUGGAAGGCAGAUAGCAGCCCCGUCAAGGCGGGAGUGGAGACCACCACACCCUCCAAACAAAGCAACAACAAGUACGCGGCCAGCAGCUACCUGAGCCUGACGCCUGAGCAGUGGAAGUCCCACAAAAGCUACAGCUGCCAGGUCACGCAUGAAGGGAGCACCGUGGAGAAGACAGUGGCCCCUACAGAAUGUUCAUAGGUUCUCAUCCCUCACCCCCCACCACGGGAGACUAGAGCUGCAGGAUCCCAGGGGAGGGGUCUCUCCUCCCACCCCAAGGCAUCAAGCCCUUCUCCCUGCACUCAAUAAACCCUCAAUAAAUAUUCUCAUUGUCAAUC